rnacentral:lncRNA from 1 species
UCUUAGGCUAAGUUAUAUUGGAGAAGAAAUGAUUAAUAAACUGGAGAAUAUGGGCCUUUGGGCUUAUUGACUGUUGAGUCAAAUCUAGUUUAUGCAUCAUCUCUUUGAGAAAAUAUGACUAAGCUACUCUUGUGGGACAAGAGAAAAAGGACCACUGAGAUACUUAUCGUUGUACAUAUUUGAUGUGUGUAGUCCAUGUGAUGUGCUAAUCAAGGAGUUGUCUCUACUUUGUAUAUAAGAUACAAAUCUGAAAUUUUUAAAAGUUUCAAAGAAUUCAAAUGAAAGUAGAGAAACAAAUCAAAAAAUUCUUAAAGGUGCUUCGAUCAGAUUGAGAAUACAAUAUCAAUUAAAAGAAUUUCUCGAUUACCUCGUAAUAUUAUUGGACUGUUCUUAGUAUAUCUCAGCUUAAUAAGAUAAGAAGAGUCAUGAGACUAUAUGAGAUAUGAUCUGGUCCAUAAUGAACUUCACUGAUUUAUUUAUAUUUCUUUAGGGACAUACUUUAUUUUUAUGAAAUUGAGUUCUCUCUAAACUUAUUUCUACCAUACCGAAUGAGAUAUGGGAUGGUGAGAACUGAAUCUUGCUUAUUUUGAGAUUCAAGGAUGUCUAGCCUGUGUCUAGGACAGGAGGUGGAUAUAUUAGAGAAUAGGUUUGUAAAGCUCAUCCUAAAAGAGUUUGGGAUAUUACUUUCUGAAAGGAUUGCAAUACGAUUGUGACCCGAUAUGAUAUUUUUUUGAAAAAUUAUUUAACCAAGAUAAAGCAGUGGAAGGAAAGUUAAGCUCAAAGAGAGUGUCUCUGAAGAGCAGCGAGCUUUGAGACCUUAAAAACCUAAUCAUCAUGAGCCAGUAGACGUAUAUUCCUCCUUCACCUCAUACACAUAGUAGGAUCUCCAAUCCUUUCGAAAGGUACUCUGGUAUGCUUAAUAGAAGAUGUAGAGAAAGUCAUUUCUCAUGGGAGAUGGAGAGUAUAGAGAUGAUUUCAGAACCUACAACGAGGCGAUGUACGACAUCGACUCCAAGAAGGAGAUGUGAAAUAGCUUUCAUGAGAAGAGAUCUUCUGAAGAUUUCUGUAUGGAAUAGUCUAUGGAUUUCACUUCUUGUGAAUGGAGAUCACAAAGUUUAUAAUAAUCUUGGAGUUGGAACAGUCAUUUUGAUAACAUGAUUAAGUUGUUUGAUAAGAAAAGAAGAAUUAUGAUUUUCAAAGAGAUCAGUGGGAGUAUCCAAUACUAACAUCGAUUAAAAUAUAAUUGAAUAUAGAUAUUUUUAUAAAAGAUAUAAAUUGAGUGUCCUAAAAAUCUAUAGAGAUAGAUGUAAUUGGAUGCUUGUAUUUUCAUAGAUAAAGUACAGAGACUGGAUGCUGAAAGAGUUCAGCAUAGAAAUCUCAGAGAGGAGUCUGCUACCCUCUCGGAUAGUCGUAUGUCAUAAUGUACUUGAACUGAUAUAAAUAAUAUCGUAAAUGUCACGAGUAGAUAUCAGUUGUAUUCAGACUGUCAGCACUGGAUUGCUGUGAAAAUGACCUUAAGCUCUUAAGAAGAACUG